rnacentral:rRNA from 1 species
AUUGAACGCUGGCGGCAGGCCUAACACAUGCAAGUCGAGCGGAUGAGGGGUGCUUGCACUCUGAUUCAGCGGCGGACGGGUGAGUAAUGCCCAGGAAUCUGCCCGAUAGUGGGGGACAACGUUUCGAAAGGAACGCUAAUACCGCAUACGUCCUACGGGAGAAAGUGGGGGAUCUUCGGACCUCACGCUACCGGAUGAGCCUAGGUCGGAUUAGCUAGUUGGUGAGGUAAUGGCUCACCAAGGCUACGAUCCGUAACUGGUCUGAGAGGAUGAUCAGUCACACUGGAACUGAGACACGGUCCAGACUCCUACGGGAGGCAGCAGUGGGGAAUAUUGGACAAUGGGCGAAAGCCUGAUCCAGCCAUGCCGCGUGUGUGAAGAAGGUCUUCGGAUUGUAAAGCACUUUAAGUUGGGAGGAAGGGCUGUAGGCUAAUAUCCUGCAGUUUUGACGUUACCAACAGAAUAAGCACCGGCUAACUUCGUGCCAGCAGCCGCAGUAAUAC